GUUACUGUACUCUCAAUAUUCUGGCCCAGGCUGUUUGUCAAUGUGAAAGAGGUUAUAAACCAUCCCAGACACCCGGCGUUUGUAUAGAUAUUGAUGAAUGUGUUGAAUAUGAUUUUGUAUGUGACAAAAAUUAUGGUUACUGUUUUAACACCCUUGGUUCUUAUUACUGUAACGACAUAAAUGUUCAAACUCAACACCACCAACAACAACAACAACAAAUCCCCUUCUCCUUGUACGCUCGACUUCUUCAAGGUGGCCGACGAC